rnacentral:rRNA from 1 species
CGAGACUUCGGUCUAGCGGCGAACGGGUGAGUAACACGUGGGCAACCUGCCCCUAGCUCUGGGAUAACUCCGGGAAACCGGGGCUAAUACCGGAUACGACCUCGAACGGCAUCUUUCGAGGUGGAAAGUUUUUCGGCUAGGGAUGGGCCCGCGGCCUAUCAGCUUGUUGGUGGGGUCACGGCCCACCAAGGCGACGACGGGUAGCCGGCCUGAGAGGGCGACCGGCCACACUGGGACUGAGACACGGCCCAG